AUUUGUUGAGUGUAUAUUUGUGAUUAAGCAAUUUGGUGUUGGAAAUGCUCUUUUCCCUUUUUAUGCUAUGCAAUUUUGGAUGGUGAACUAUAAUUAGAUAAAACUUUGAUCUUGGUGGUGCUAGAUUACCAGAGAUAAUUGAUUAUAGAUUGUUUAGAUGGUUAGUUAGUUGAUUCUAGUUUGAGUCAUAUCUUAUUCUCAUUUUAACCAGUUCUUCACUUUAAUCAAUUGCAUAAUACUCAAUUCUUCUAUCUGCCAUAUUUUCCAACAGUGAACAUGCUAAUCAAUGAAGUAAAGAAGAAAUCAUAUAUGAUAAUAAGGCUGAAGACAUUCGAGCCAUGCAAAAGUUCUUAUUCUUCUAGUAUUAUUAUGUCACAUACCACACUGCACAAUAUACAUAGAUUAUUGAUGCAUUUCAAGAACUCCUAGCACCUUCAUACAUGGCCUUACUCCUUAUGUGUGUCUUAUACAUUUAAGUUACCAAAGUUGAUGGCUCCAUUAGCAUUGCCAUCAGUGUAGCCUGUUUGAUUACUCAGACCUUUUAUCCUUUGACUUCCAGUGUUGUUAUAUUUUCCGGACACGCGAUUCCUUCGGGACGUAGGAGUAGGAAAGGAUUUCGGCGGCAGCGCUGGAGGAGCAUGUUCAGUC
rnacentral:lncRNA from 1 species